AAUCUUCAAAAAUUUCAUUUGAUUGAUGGCGAAUGCUGUUGCCACUGCCACCAUUUCCGUUGGCGAAAAGGUUGCUAUUGCCAAUGGUGGCAUAUGAUGGUCGGAUUAGGAAAUUGAACUUACUUUUCCAAUCUCCUCUCGGACUCUGAUGGAACUUCGAAUAUUUCAGCAAUUGCUGGAUCGGCGUGGAGAUGAGAUGAUGACCUCUUGCCAUUUGUCCAACCUCGGGAAUAUUGGAACAUUUGUCCCAUGCAGCUGAAGAUGAUGGCAAACGAGACCAAAGAGAAGACAGCGAAACGAAGCAUGAUGUGUAUUGAUAAUCUAUUUGAAAAAGUAGAAAAUGUAACAAGUGAAUAGAAGUGACAUCUGUAUGCGAAGUUAAAGGAAAAUGGUUGUGAUAUAUGUUAGGUUGUAAUACGAGGUUCAAAGAGGGGUUCAAUAUUUUGAUGGAAGAGAACAAUGAAUGUCAAACUUAAACAGUUUUGGAAGCUCAAUCUAUUUAGCUAUAAUUUUCUGUAGAGUAAACUAUCCAUUUUUAUAGAA